rnacentral:rRNA from 1 species
UGGGGAAUAUUGGACAAUGGGCGAAAGCCUGAUCCAGCCAUGCCGCGUGAGUGAUGAAGGCCCUAGGGUUGUAAAGCUCUUUCAACGGUGAAGAUAAUGACGGUAACCGUAGAAGAAGCCCCGGCUAACUUCGUGCCAGCAGCCGCGGUAAUACGAAGGGGGCUAGCGUUGUUCGGAAUUACUGGGCGUAAAGCGCACGUAGGCGGAUACUUAAGUUAGGGGUGAAAUCCCAGGGCUCAACCCUGGAACUGCCUUUAAUACUGGGUAUCUCGAGUCCGAGAGAGGUGAGUGGAAUUCCGAGUGUAGAGGUGAAAUUCGUAGAUAUUCGGAGGAACACCAGUGGCGAAGGCGGCUCACUGGCUCGGUACUGACGCUGAGGUGCGAAAGCGUGGGGAGCAAACAGG